AGAGUUUGAUCCUGGCUCAGAAUCAACGCUGGCGGCGUGCCUAACACAUGCAAGUCGAACGCGAAAGGGGCUUCGGCCCUGAGUAGAGUGGCGAACGGGUGAGUAACACGUGGGUGACCUACCUUCGAAUGGGGGAUAACGUCCCGAAAGGGACGCUAAUACCGCAUAACAUCCUGCCUUUGAAGAGGUGGAGAUCAAAGCUGGGGAUCGCAAGACCUGGCGUUUGAAGAGGGGCCCGCGUCUGAUUAGCUAGUUGGUGAGGUAACGGCUCACCAAGGCGACGAUCAGUAUCCGGCCUGAGAGGGCGGACGGACACACUGGGACUGAGACACGGCCCAGACUCCUACGGGAGGCAGCAGUGGGGAAUUGUUCGCAAUGGGCGCAAGCCUGACGACGCAACGCCGCGUGGAGGAUGAAGGUCUUCGGAUUGUAAACUCCUGUUGCCCGGGACGAAAUGCUUCGACCUAACACGUCGAAGUUUGACGGUACCGGGUGAGAAGCCCCGGCUAACUCUGUGCCAGCAGCCGCGGUA
rnacentral:rRNA from 1 species